UUAACUGUCUUGCCUAGUAAAAUAAAUAAUAAAUAAAAUCUUUCAUAUCAGCGCGAAAUAAUUUUCUAAAGACAAAAGGUUACAUUUCUAAAUAUCUUCAUAGUGUUAGGGUUAGUGUUAUUUAUUUAUUUUUUGAUUAGGGUUAGUGUUCCCACACAGCCAUAUCUCCAUGUUACAUCGCUUGUUUACGGAAGCCAGAUGGAAGACAUAGACGGCCACCUGUUCUAGUUAGCUAUCUAGCGUGCUCUGAACACCUGUGUGUAAGCGUAACAGGGAGGAAAUGUAGUUGGUCAACUGGAGGACCACACAGCUUGUGGAUCUGUGCACAAAUUCUACAACCAAGCUAUCACGUUGUUUCAUUCAGACGACAGCCACAUAGUGGACAUGAAGGCUUGAUGAGGAUGGCGGAGGUGGUGAUGGGACCGCAGACAGCACCAUGAAACGUUCAAAGACCUCAAUCUGCAGCAAAUUAGGGUGUCACCCAUCUUCCCGAUUAUCCCCUGGAUCAACAACAGGAUCUGGCAGUAACCAUGGAGGAACAUCCCCUUUCACCACAGAAGGGCUAACCUCCAACUCCCUGAAACCACUCAUCAGCAAGCUUUACAACUGUCCAAACAAAACCACUGCCUUGUCUACUAGUAUAUUCCUAACAGUAAUCUAAAACACUAGCAGCCAUUCAACAACCUUUCAACCUAACCGAAUAAGCUAAAGACAACUUUUUACACCAUAUAUCCAAAGGCAUCUCACCUGCCUCCACUAGUAAGGCACAUACACGUGUUGAUUUAAAUGCACCAAUACAUAUCCUUAAAGCUUUAUGCUGGAUUCUGUCCAACCUCUGAAGCCAAGUUAAUUUGCUAAAUUGUAAUUACUCCACUACUAUGGCCCAUUUAUUGCCUUACCUCCUCACGCCAUUUGCACCCACUGUAUAUUGACUUUUCUUUUUUUCUAUUGUUUUAGACUGUACGCUU